rnacentral:rRNA from 1 species
UACGUAGGUGGCAAGCGUUGUCCGGAUUUAUUGGGUUUAAAGGGUGCGUAAGCGGUCUUAUAAGUCAGUGCUGAAAUAUCCCGGCUUAACCGGGAGGGUGGCAUUGAUACUGUAGGACUUGAGUAAAGUUGAGGUUGGCGGAAUUGACGGUGUAGCGGUGAAAUGCUUAGAUAUCGUCAAGAACACCGAUAGUGUAGACAGCUAACUAAGCUUUAACUGACGCUGAGGCACGAAAGUGUGGGGAUCAAACAGG